GCAAAAUGUAGCUCAUNAAGAGCAUUGGUCUUGUAAACCAAAGGUUGAAUAUAUAAUUAUUCCUUUUGCU
rnacentral:tRNA from 1 species